CGGCAUGCCUUACACAUGCAAGUCGAACGGCAGCACGGGUGCUUGCACCUGGUGGCGAGUGGCGAACGGGUGAGUAAUAUAUCGGAACGUACCCUAGAGUGGGGGAUAACGCAGCGAAAGUUGCGCUAAUACCGCAUACGAUCUACGGAUGAAAGUGGGGGAUCGCAAGACCUCAUGCUCAUGGAGCGGCCGAUAUCUGAUUAGCUAGUUGGUGGGGUAAAAGCCUACCAAGGCAUCGAUCAGUAGCUGGUCUGAGAGGACGACCAGCCACACUGGAACUGAGACACGGUCCAGACUCCUACGGGAGGCAGCAGUGGGGAAUUUUGGACAAUGGGCGCAAGCCUGAUCCAGCAAUGCCGCGUGAGUGAAGAAGGCCUUCGGGUUGUAAAGCUCUUUUGUCAGGGAAGAAACGGUGAGGGCUAAUAUCCUUUGCUAAUGACGGUACCUGAAGAAUAAGCACCGGCUAACUACGUGCCAGCAGCCGCGGUAAUACGUAGGGUGCAAGCGUUAAUCGGAAUUACUGGGCGUAAAGCGUGCGCAGGCGGUUAUGUAAGUCAGAUGUGAAAUCCCCGGGCUCAACCUGGGAAUGGCAUUUGAGACUGCAUGGCUAGAGUGUGUCAGAGGGGGGUAGAAUUCCACGUGUAGCAGUGAAAUGCGUAGAGAUGUGGAGGAAUACCGAUGGCGAAGGCAGCCCCCUGGGAUAACACUGACGCUCAUGCACGAAAGCGUGGGGAGCAAACAGGAUUAGAUACCCUGGUAGUCCACGCCCUAAACGAUGUCUACUAGUUGUCGGGACUUAAUUGUCUUGGUAACGCAGCUAACGCGUGAAGUAGACCGCCUGGGGAGUACGGUCGCAAGAUUAAAACUCAAAGGAAUUGACGGGGACCCGCACAAGCGGUGGAUGAUGUGGAUUAAUUCGAUGCAACGCGAAAAACCUUACCUACCCUUGACAUGUACGGAACCUCUGAGAGAUUAGAGGGUGCUCGAAAGAGAGCCGUAACACAGGUGCUGCAUGGCUGUCGUCAGCUCGUGUCGUGAGAUGUUGGGUUAAGUCCCGCAACGAGCGCAACCCUUGUCAUUAGUUGCUACGAAAGGGCACUCUAAUGAGACUGCCGGUGACAAGCCGGAGGAAGGUGGGGAUGACGUCAAGUCCUCAUGGCCCUUAUGGGUAGGGCUUCACACGUCAUACAAUGGUACAUACAGAGGGCCGCCAACCCGCGAGGGGGAGCUAAUCCCAGAAAGUGUAUCGUAGUCCGGAUUGUAGUCUGCAACUCGACUACAUGAAGUUGGAAUCGCUAGUAAUCGCGGAUCAGCAUGUCGCGGUGAAUACGUUCCCGGGUCUUGUACACACCGCCCGUCACACCAUGGGAGCGGGUUUCACCAGAAGUAGGUAGCCUAACCGCAAGGAGGGCGCUUACCACGGUGGAUUCG
rnacentral:rRNA from 1 species